UACGUAGGGUCCGAGCGUUGUCCGGAAUUAUUGGGCGUAAAGGGCUCGUAGGCGGUCUGUCGCGUCGGGAGUGAAAACUCAGGGCUUAACCCUGAGCCUGCUUCCGAUACGGGCAGACUAGAGGUAUGCAGGGGAGAACGGAAUUCCUGGUGUAGCGGUGAAAUGCGCAGAUAUCAGGAGGAACACCGGUGGCGAAGGCGGUUCUCUGGGCAUUACCUGACGCUGAGGAGCGAAAGUGUGGGGAGCGAACAGG
rnacentral:rRNA from 1 species